rnacentral:rRNA from 1 species
AUACGGAGGAUGCAAGCGUUAUCCGGAUUCAUUGGGUUUAAAGGGUGCGUAGGCGGAAUAGUAAGUCAGUGGUGAAAACCUGCGGCUCAACCGUAGAAUUGCCAUUGAUACUGUUAUUCUUGAAUGUAGUUGAGGUAGGCGGAAUGUGUAAUGUAGCGGUGAAAUGCAUAGAUAUUACACAGAACACCGAUUGCGAAGGCAGCUUACUAAACUAUGAUUGACGCUGAUGCACGAAGGCGUGGGGAGCGAACAGGAUUAGAUACCCUGGUAGUCCACGCUGUAAACUAUGAUCACUCGUUGUUUGCGAUACACAGUAAGCGACUGAGCGAAAGCAUUAAGUGAUCCACCUGGGGAGUACGUCGGCAACGAUGAA